AUUGAACGCUGGCGGCAGGCUUAACACAUGCAAGUCGAGCGGGGGGAGGUAGCUUGCUACUGGACCUAGCGGCGGACGGGUGAGUAAUGCUUAGGAAUCUGCCUAUUAGUGGGGGACAACAUCUCGAAAGGGAUGCUAAUACCGCAUACGUCCUACGGGAGAAAGCAGGGGAUCUUCGGACCUUGCGCUAAUAGAUGAGCCUAAGUCGGAUUAGCUAGUUGGUGGGGUAAAGGCCUACCAAGGCGACGAUCUGUAGCGGGUCUGAGAGGAUGAUCCGCCACACUGGGACUGAGACACGGCCCAGACUCCUACGGGAGGCAGCAGUGAGGAAGAUUGGACAAUGGGGGGAACCCUGAUCCAGCCAUGCCGCGUGUGUGAAGAAGGCCUUAUGGUUGUAAAGCACUUUAAGCGAGGAGGAGGCUACUCUAGUUAAUACCUAGGGAUAGUGGACGUUACUCGCAGAAUAAGCACCGGCUAACUCUGUGCCAGCCGCCGCAGUAA
rnacentral:rRNA from 1 species